AGCCCGGACCCUCCUCCCCACGCCCGCCACCCGCCGGGCUGCGGCGGCGACAGCAGAUUCCGCGUUCGGCACCCGAGCGCCGCUCUCGCUCCCCAGCCCCUCAGCUCCGCGUUCCCUUGCCGGCUCACAAUGUGUUGACCCUCCCGGCCCCGCCGCGCUCCCUCAGGAAGUGACAGACUCCAGGCCCCUUCCUCCGCCCCGUCCCCCCGGACUGAACGCCACACGCGUAUUCACACCCUCUCCCCCUCUCACACCAGGGCUAGCAACGCGACCAUGAAGCCCCGGAGGUUCUUCAGAAGAUGAUGAGGUCAUUCAACCAGGUUUCAUCAGCCCCAGAGUGAAUCCUUUGACAUGGAGAUGAUGCUCUAAUAAGUAUCAUGAAAAAGAAGAUUCUGAAAAGUUGCUACAAUAUUUUAAUUUACCAACUAGUUUCUGAUUACUAUAGAUUGUGUUUUUUCUGUGGGGGCAA